rnacentral:rRNA from 1 species
UGAGGAACAUGACCUUCGGCGGGGGAUAGCCGGCCCAACGGCCGGGUAAUACCGCGUACGACCACUUUGGGACAUCCCUAGGUGGUGAAAGCAGCAAUGCGCCGAUGGAGUGCCCCGCGGCCUAUCAGCUAGUUGGUGAGGUAACGGCUCACCAAGGCAACGAUGCGUAGCUGACCUGAGAGGGUNAUCGGCCACAUUGGAACUGAGACACGGUCCAGACUCCGUACGGGAGCAG